UACGUAGGGUGCGAGCGUUAAUCGGAAUUACUGGGCGUAAAGCGUGCGCAGGCGGUUAUAUAAGACAGUUGUGAAAUCCCCGGGCUCAACCUGGGAAUUGCAUCUGUGACUGUAUAGCUAGAGUACGGUAGAGGGGGAUGGAAUUCCGCGUGUAGCAGUGAAAUGCGUAGAUAUGCGGAGGAACACCGAUGGCGAAGGCGACUCACUGGACAUGUAUUGACGCUGAGGUACGAAAGCGUGGGGAGCAAACAGG
rnacentral:rRNA from 1 species